AGAGUUUGAUCAUGGCUCAGGACGAACGCUGGCGGCGCGCUUAACACAUGCAAGUCGAACGCUCUCACCCCUUCGGGGGUGGGGGAGUGGCGAACGGGUGCGUAACACGUGAGCGACCUGCCCCUGUGUGGGGGAUAACCCGGGGAAACCCGGGCUAAUACCGCAUGCGCUCCUCGGGCUGCAUGGCUCUUGGAGGAAAGGUGCUGCAAGGCACCACGCAGGGAGGGGCUCGCGGCGUAUCAGGUAGUUGGUGAGGUCACGGCUCACCAAGCCGACGACGCGUAGGGGGUCUGAAAGGAUGGCCCCCCACAUUGGGACUGAGAUACGGCCCAGACUCCUACGGGAGGCAGCAGUGGAGAAUCUUGCGCAAUGGCCGAAAGGCUGACGCAGCGACGCCGCGUGCGGGAGGACGCCCUUCGGGGUGUAAACCGCUGUCGGCGGGGACGAACCCCUGGGGGAGGAAAUGCCCUCAGGCUGACGGUACCCGCAGAGGAAGCACCGGCUAACUCCGUGCCAGCAGCCGCGGUAAUACGGAGGGUGCGAGCGUUGUUCGGAAUUAUUGGGCGUAAAGCGCACGUAGGCGGUCGGGUCAGUCUCGUGGUGAAAGGCCGGGGCUCAACCCCGUGCUGGCCAGGGAUACUGCCCGACUGGAGACAGGGAGAGGCCAGUGGAAUUCCGGGUGUAGCGGUGGAAUGCGUAGAGAUCCGGAAGAACACCGGAGGCGAAGGCGGCUGGCUGGCCCUGAUCUGACGCUGAGGUGCGAAAGCGUGGGGAGCGAACAGGAUUAGAUACCCCAGUAGUCC
rnacentral:rRNA from 1 species